rnacentral:tRNA from 1 species
GGCGCAACAGCCAAACAGGUAAAGCAAACGACUGAAAAUCCUCGUGUCACC